CACCUGUUAUCCCUCUCCCUCUCCAAAAUUUAGCCUAAGAGAAGCAGCAUUCCCACAUGGGCCUUGCCAGUUAAAUCACCUGGAGGAAGGGUACAGAAAGCAAGCACAGCGGAGAGAAAACAUUUGUGGUUUCAGCCUUGCUAGGUGCGAAUACGUGGUGCCAGUUGUCUGGAGUCCAUAGAUUAUGUGACCUUGAAUGCUAGUAGGAGAAUCCCUUUGGGAAGAGCCUGGGGCUUCUCCCUCAAACUCUGCAGAACCUGGAGCUUUGUUAGUCCUUUGCUGCUCUCGUUGGCUCUGCUCGGACUAGACCGACUGACUGAUGCAGGGUCCAGAGGCCUGGCCUUCUCACUCCAACCUGAGCAGCUCAGAAGGGUCAUCUGAUUUUUCAGAAUGCCUGUAGGGUAGGCUGAGGCCUCUGUUGAGACUGUAGUGCCAGCUCAACUCUUUUUGCUCAGUUCUGCUUCUUUCCUUUCUCUUCCACAGCUGUUGGUCCAAGAGCACUCCCUGUAAGCCUGUUGCAUGCUAAUCUCCAUCUCGGAGUCAGCCUUCUGCACUCAAAGGAAGAUGGGGCUGGGAAGAGUGUCUGGAAUCCAGGCAGGAGAAAAAUCCCUGGGAAGUUCCAGUGAGCUGUGGCCCAGCCAAAUGCCCCAGCGCUCCAGGCAGUACCGCGGGGGACUUUAUUUGUGCUUCUGUGGGGCUUUGCUAUCCCUUAAGCCCUCAGGUCCAGGGAACAACUGGCUACUUGGUAGAAGCAUGUGGGGUGGCCCCAGGUCACCUGUGUGAGGCUCAGCAGAGCCUAGGAGCUCCCCUCUUCCUGUCCUCACCAUCCUCGAGACCCUUACAAGCCACCUGGACCAGCUUGCUCCAGCCAAUUCCUCCCCUGCCCUGACCCAGAGCCUGUUAUCCCAAAAUGCAGCCAUCCCUUAAAGCUGGGGACCACCCUGCCACCUAAGCAGGUGGGACCCCUGCCCUGAGCUCCAGGCUGCAGAAGGCCCCGCUCCGGCCACCCGUGGGAGGGAGUCACCAUGCUUUGGGCUACACAACCCAGAUGAAUGACAGAAAACUGUGUUCCCUUCAGCUGCAAGGUUGGAGUCCCCAGUCAGCUCACUUCUGAUCACCUGGCUGGACAUUCAGGGGCUUCCGUUACCCGCUA
rnacentral:lncRNA from 13 species